rnacentral:rRNA from 1 species
CAGACUCCUACGGGAGGCAGCAGUGGGGAAUAUUGCACAAUGGGCGCAAGCCUGAUGCAGCCAUGCCGCGUGUGUGAAGAAGGCCUUAGGGUUGUAAAGCACUUUCAGCAGUGAGGAAAGGGUGUAAGUUAAUACCUUGCACCUGUGACGUUAACUGCAGAAGAAGGACCGGCUAACUCCGUGCCAGCAGCCGCGGUAAUACGGAGGGUCCGAGCGUUAAUCGGAAUUACUGGGCGUAAAGCGCGCGUAGGCGGUUAUUUAAGUCAGAUGUGAAAGCCCCGGGCUCAACCUGGGAACUGCACCUGAUACUGGAUAACUAGAGUACAGAAGAGGGUGGUGGAAUUUCCUGUGUAGCGGUGAAAUGCGUAGAUAUAGGAAGGAACACCAGUGGCGAAGGCGACCACCUGGUCUGAUACUGACGCG